GUAGUUAGCCGUGGCUUCCUCCUCAGGUACCGUCAUUAUCGUCCCUGAAGACAGAGCUUUACAAUCCGAAAACCUUCUUCCCUCACGCGGCGUUGCUGGGUCAGGCUUGCGCCCAUUGCCCAAUAUUCCCCACUGCUGCCUCCCGUAGGAGUCUGGACCGUGUCUCAGUUCCAGUGUGGCCGAUCACCCUCUCAGGUCGGCUACCGAUCGUCGCCUUGGUGGGCCGUUACCUCACCAACUAGCUAAUCGGACGCGAACUCACCCCAAACCGGAUUGCUCCUUUUACCUCGUCUCCAUGCGAAAACGUGGUCUUAUGCGGUAUUAGCACCUGUUUCCAAGUGUUAUCCCCCUGUCUGGGACAGAUUGUUCACGCGUUACUCACCCGUCCGCCGCUAAGGUACCAAGUCGUGCAAGCACUCUCAAUACCUCCGCUCGACUUGCAUGUGUUAAGCACGCCGCCAGCGUUCGUCCUGAGCCAUGAUCAAACUCUGA
rnacentral:rRNA from 1 species